AGCAGCCGCGGUAAUUCCAGCUCCAAUAGCGUAUAUUAAAGUUGUUGCAGUUAAAAAGCUCGUAGUUGAAUUUCGGGGCUAGUACGGUGGUCGUGCCUUCGGUAUGUACUGUUGUUACUGGUUCCUACCUUCUGACGAACCGUCAUGUCAUUAAUUUGGUGUGGCGGGGAAUCAGGACUGUUACUUUGAAAAAUUAGAGUGUUUAAAGCAGGCUCGCGCUUGAAUACAUUAGCAUGGAAUAAUGAAAUAGGACGUUCGAUCCUAUUUUGUUGGUUUCUAGGAUUGACGUAAUGAUUAAUAGGGAUAGUUGGGGGCAUUAGUAUUCAAUUGUCAGAGGUAAAAUUCUUGGAUUUAUUGAAGACUAACUACUGCGAAAGCAUUUGCCAAGGAUGUUUUCAUUAAUCAAGA
rnacentral:sRNA from 1 species